ensembl:lncRNA
AUGUAAUAUUUUGUGAAUAUUUUGAAUAGGUUUUUAUUUUUACAUGUUCAUUUUAGUUUAGCCUUUUUUUGUAGUUUUUGUUUUUUAUAUGUUUUUUAUAUGUCUGUAAAGUUUUUAUUACUUUCAUUUCAGUUUUAGUUUUUAUUUUCAGUUGACAUUUUAAGUAAUGGAAAAGUUUUUGGUUAACUUUUUCAAGUAACAAAAAUGUUUAAUAAGUUUUUUGUUAUUUCAGUAAAAUAAAAAAAAUUAUUUCAAGUAGCAGGAAUGUUUUUUUUUGUUGUUUAAUAAAUAAAAAAUAAAUGAAAUUAACAAUAAUAACCUUGUCUCAGAGACAAAAUAGUUGUAUUUUUUUCUGUUUUAUUGAAGUUAAAAAAUUUAGACAGCAUGCAUCAUACAAGACAUUUACAAUGAUUUUACAGCAACAUCAAUCAGAGAAACCCGGCUUCAGUUCUGCAAGCGUGCUGCCGUCUCACGUGGACAAGCACUGACACUAUGAGACGUGCACGGCUUUACGAAACCAAGCCAGUUCCUCUUUUCUCUCUUUCCUGUCGUUCUGUGUCGAGCGAUGUGAAGUUUCCCAGCAGCCAACAGUACACUCAUCCAUAAAGUAGGAAACACUACACUGUGGCGAGGGGUUUAGUAGUGCUUUCUACUUUAUGGAUGACUGCACUGUAUGUCCCAAUGUCCAGGUGUCCAGGUGUCCACGUCUCCUCUGGAGAAACGCUGGAGAUCUCAAACUCCUCCUUCACAUAAACACACACACAUUUCCACUUCUGCACAGCUCUUGAACCGCACCCAAACUCUAUACAGACUUCAAACUAUAAACAUUUCAGGAAAUCGAGUUUGAUUGAUUGCUAUUUGAAUGUACAACAGGCAAAACAGAAUUGUUUUGCAAUUAAUAAUUCACUGAACUAGAUUUAAAAUACAGUAUGAACAACAAAUAUACUGCAACAUGCAUUUUGUUGAAAUAUGUUAAAGUUUAUACAGCAAUUUUUGAAAAUAAGUUGAUUCAAAUAGAAAAUGUAAGAAUAAACAAUGCGUCAUUCACAAAUGCUGGCGGUAGCGACACAAACGUCUUCCUCACAUCAGAUGGUAGCCAUUUUGAUCAACAUGAGUAAGCUUUUUCUUUCGAAAGAAGAUGAGUGUUUUAUUACAGGAAUUUAUUUUAAAAUGCAAUUUUUUUGGUUAUGCUGUUGUUUUGUGUGGGGGAAAGAAGAAACUUUACAGAUAGAAAAUUAGCGUUUUUACACUUUUUAACAUUUCUGUUAAACAGGAACUGGUGCACAUGCAUUAUUUUUAAAAGUUGUUCUACAUCUUGUCAGUUAAUAAAUAAUACUGAAAUACAAUUGACAAUCUAUUGCAUUCCAAAAAUUGACAAAAUAUUUUUUUUAAUUUUUAAAUUGUAUGCAUGCGUCAAUGGAGAGUCCAAACAUUACAGUAAAAAACUUGAAAAUAUUUAUGCAGAACAUUAAUGCAUAAAGUUAUACAUCACUAUUACAUUAAUGAAGAAACACAAAAAAGUCAAAUUGAACCAAAUAAAUCGCUUCCUGUUUCCUGCACAUCCCAGUAUAACAAUAACCAUACGUUACCCAUCAGAACUUGUAUUUUAUGGCUCAAAUACAUCCAUACCUCUGUAGAUCAAGACCAGUAGUGCCAUGGUUGCCUCUUUCUUCUUCUCCAGGGUUCUUCAGGCGUCUUCCUCUGCAGCCAAAGGAGAAAUGGGCCUAAAACAGAAGUGGUGCUCGUAUUUAACCUUGCUGCCAACCACGUGGUGCUCAACCACACAGGAAGAGGCAUAACAGUCAGUGGCCUGCGCCUCUCUUUCAUUCGCUGCUCUUUUUGACCCCCGACUCGUUUAAG